GUGCUCGCUUCGGCAGCACAUAUACUAAAAUUGGAAUGAUACAGAGAAGAUUAGCAUGGCCCCUGCGCAAGGAUGAACUGGAUUUUGAAGAAAUGCAACAGGAACAA
rnacentral:snRNA from 1 species